rnacentral:sRNA from 1 species
UGGAACUGACCAAUAUUCAGAAAAAGUACUACCGUGCCAUCCUCGAGAAGAACUUUUCCUUCCUGACCAAGGGGGCAAAUCAGCACAACAUGCCCAAUCUCAUCAACACCAUGAUGGAGCUGAGGAAGUGCUGUAACCAUCCCUACCUGAUCAAUGGAGCAGAGGAGAAAAUUCUAGAAGAUUUCCGAAAAACCCACAGCCCUGAUGCCCCUGACUUUCAGCUGCAGGCCAUGAUUCAGGCAGCAGGGAAGCUUGUGUUGAUUGAUAAACUACUCCCUAAGCUGAUUGCAGGUGGCCACAAAGUACUCAUCUUCUCCCAGAUGGUGCGCUGCCUCGACAUCCUGGAAGAUUACCUCAUCCAGAGAAGAUACACCUAUGAGCGAAUUGAUGGGCGAGUACGGGGAAACCUGCGCCAGGCAGCCAUCGACCGGUUCUGUAAGCCAGAUUCAGACCGCUUUGUCUUUCUUCUGUGCACCAGAGCGGGAGGCCUGGGGAUCAAUCUCACAGCUGCUGAUACCUGCAUCAUAUUUGAUUCUGACUGGAACCCACAAAAUGACUUGCAGGUAACCACUAGGAUGAUUGCUCUUUGCCUUAGCUGCCCUAGAUCCCAGAACAUCAUGAUAGGGCCUGGCUUGGCUACAGAGCAUCUGUGAUGCUCUGUGCUAUGGUGUCAGCUGGAUGACAGGCUUAGGGCCUUGGUCAGGGGGUGAAACUGAAUGAAAAGUAAAUGUCGACCCUUCCGACUAAUUAGAGAGUGUGGUUCUUUCCAUUAAAUCAAAUGAUGUUUCACAGUGGUAGCCUCCAGAUAUAGACUAGAACUACUAAUUAUUAUUAUCAGAAGUAAAGAUACUAAUCUUGA